UACGUAGGGGCUAGCGUUGUCCGGAAUUACUAGGCGUAAAGGGCAGGCAGGCGGAUCCAUAAGUUUAUCGUUUAAGGCGUCGGCUUAACCGGCGUAGGGCGGUAGAUACUGUGGAUCUGGAAUGCGGUUGGGGAAGACAGAAUUCCUGGUGUAGCGGUGGAAUGCGCAGAGAUCAGGAGGAAUACCGAAGGCGAAGGCAGUCUUCCAAGCCGUUAUUGACGCUCAACUGCGAAGGUGUGGGUAUCAAACAGGAUUAGAUACCCGCGUAGUCCCUGAG
rnacentral:rRNA from 1 species